CGAAUCUUCCGCAAUGCACGAAAGUGUGACGGAGCGACGCCGCGUGUGGGACGAAGUCCUUCGGGAUGUAAACCACUGUCAGGGGUUACCAAGUUCUGAGGAGCCCCAGAGGAAGGCACGGCUAACUCUGUGCCAGCAGCCGCGGUAAGACAGAGGUGCCAAGCGUUAGGCGGAAUCACUGGGCUUAAAGCGUGUGUAGGCGGAAUUGUAAGUACCUUGUGAAAUCCCACGGCUCAACCGUGGAACUGCUUGGUAUACUGCUUUUCUUGAGCCACUUAGGGGCUGUCGGAACAAACGGUGGAGCGGUGAAAUGCGUAGAUAUCGUUUGGAACGCCAACGGUGAAAACAGACAGCUGGGAGUGUGCUGACGCUGAGACACGAAAGCCAGGGGAGCGAACGGGA
rnacentral:misc_RNA from 1 species